rnacentral:rRNA from 1 species
GAUGAACGCUGGCGGCGUGCCUAACACAUGCAAGUCGAACGGAAGGACGCGAAGUUUGUUUCUUUGAUGUUUGCGGCGCACGGGAGUGAAACAUGAGGAAACUCCCCCUGUCUGUGUGAUAUAAUCUCGGGACAGCGGCGCUAACCCGGUAUGAUCUUUUGCACCGCAUGGUUCAAAAGUGAAAGACGGUCUUUCUGUCUGUUAUCGAUGCAUACCAGCUGCAUUAGCUAGUUGGUAAGGUAACGGCCUACCAAGGCUAGCAUGCCUAGCCGACCUGAGAGGGUGAUCGGCCACACUGGAACUGAGACACGGUCCAGACGCCUACGGGAGGCAGCAGUAGGGAAUCUUCCGCAAUGGGCGAAAGCCUGACGGAGCAACGCCGCGUGAGUGAUGAAGGUCUUCGGAUCGUAAAACUCUGUUAUGAGGGAAGAACAUAUGUGUAAGUAACUGUGCACAUCUUGACGGUACCUAAUCAGAAAGCCACGGCUAACUACGUG